rnacentral:rRNA from 1 species
CCCUUAGAUGUUCUGGGCUGCACGCGUGCUACAAUGGCGCUUGCAACAAGUCUUGCCAACCCGAUAGGGUGAGCGGAUCUUUGAAGAGGCGUCGUGAUCGGGACAGUUGAUUGCAAUUAUUCGACUCGAACGAGGAAUUCCUUGUAAUCGCGAUUCAUCAUAUCGCGCUGAAUACGUCCCUGCCCUUUGUACACACCGCCCGUCGCUCCUACCGAUUGAGCGAUCCGGUGAAUGUUUUGGACUGGCGACAGAAGCGGUUCGCUCCUGACACUACGAAAUUUUGUAAACCUUAUCGCUUAGAGGAAGGAAAAGUCGUAACA